rnacentral:rRNA from 1 species
GAUGAACGCUGGCGGCGUGCCUAAUACAUGCAAGUCGAGCGAACAGACGAGGAGCUUGCUCCUCUGACGUUAGCGGCGGACGGGUGAGUAACACGUGGAUAACCUACCUAUAAGACUGGGAUAACUUCGGGAAACCGGAGCUAAUACCGGAUAAUAUAUUGAACCGCAUGGUUCAAUAGUGAAAGACGGUUUUGCUGUCACUUAUAGAUGGAUCCGCGCCGCAUUAGCUAGUUGGUAAGGUAACGGCUUACCAAGGCGACGAUGCGUAGCCGACCUGAGAGGGUGAUCGCCCACCCUGGAACUGGGCCACGGUCCAGACUCCUACGGGAGGCAGCAGUAGGGAAUCUUCCGCAAGGGGCGAAAGCCUGACGGAGCAACGCCGCGUGAGGGAGGAAGUUCUUCGGAUCGUAAACCUCUGUUAUUAGGGAAGAACAAAUGUGUAAGUAACUAUGCACGUCUUGACGGUACCUAAUCAGAAAGCCACGGCUAACUACGUG